GAGUUUGAUCGUGGCUCAGGAUGAACGCUGGCGGCGUGCUUAACACAUGCAAGUCGAACGAAGCGCCUUAUUUGAUUUUCUUCGGAACUGAAGAUUUGGUGACUGAGUGGCGGACGGGUGAGUAACGCGUGGGUAACCUGCCCUGUACAGGGCGAUAACAAUCAGAAAUGACUGCUAAUACCGCAUAAGACCACAGCACCGCAUGGUGCAGGGGUAAAAACUCCGGUGGUACAGGAUGGACCCGCGUCUGAUUAGCUGGUUGGUGAGGUAACGGCUCACCAAGGCGACGAUCAGUAGCCGGCUUGAGAGAGUGAACGGCCACAUUGGGACUGAGACACGGCCCAAACUCCUACGGGAGGCAGCAGUGGGGGAAUAUUGCACAAUGGGGGAAACCCUGAUGCAGCAACGCCGCGUGAGUGAAGAAGUAUUUCGGUAUGUAAAGCUCUAUCAGCAGGGAAGAAAGUGACGGUACCUGACUAAGAAGCCCCGGCUAACUACGUGCCAGCAGCCGCAA
rnacentral:rRNA from 1 species